GGACUACUAGGGUUUCUAAUCCUGUUUGCUCCCCACGCUUUCGCGCCUCAGCGUCAGUUAAUGUCCAGCAGGCCGCCUUCGCCACUGGUGUUCCUCCUAAUAUCUACGCAUUUCACCGCUACACUAGGAAUUCCGCCUGCCUCUCCAUCACUCAAGAACAUCAGUUUCCAACGCAGUUCAGGGGUUGAGCCCCUGGAUUUCACGUCAGACUUGAUAUCCCGCCUACGCGCCCUUUACACCCAGUAAAUCCGGACAACGCUUGCCACCUACGUAUUACCGCGGCUGCUGGCAC
rnacentral:rRNA from 1 species